AACCGCCGUAUACGGAACCGUACGUACGGUGGUGUGAGAGGGAUGGAGGUUAGUCACCUCCCCCUAUCUCUAU
rnacentral:misc_RNA from 1 species